rnacentral:rRNA from 1 species
AACGAACGCUGGCGGCGUGGAUAAGACAUGCAAGUCGAACGCUGAUUUCAAGGUAGCAAUAUUUUGAAGUUGGAGUGGCGCAAGGGUGUGUAACACGUGGGUAAUCUGCCGUGAAGCCUGGGAUAACUUGCUGAAAGGCGAGCUAAUACCGGAUGUGAAAAUCGGAAGGCAUCUUUUGAUUUCAAAGUUGGGGACCGCAAGGCCUGACGCUUUAUGAUGAACCCGCGGCCUAUCAGCUAGUUGGUGAGGUAAUAGCUCACCAAGGCUAAGACGGGUAGCUGGUCUGAGAGGACGACCAGCCACACUGGAACUGAGACACGGUCCAGACACCUACGGGAGGCAGCAGUGGGGAAUCUUGCGCAAUGGUCUAACGACUGACGCAGCGACGCCGCGUGAGGGAUGAAGCUCUUCGGAGUGUAAACCUCUGUU